UGGAAAAGAAGGAAUCUUUAAAAAAAAACAACCCCAAACACAAGCAUUCAUUAAUGGAAUAUCUUUAAGUCAAAAUCAAAAUAAACCCAAAUUUGUAGUUACAAUUGCAAUCUGGAGCUCUCAGUACAGAGUCAGAUGAAACACUAAUGUGUUUGGUUCACAAGUCACAGUAGACCUUAAUGCUGAGUGUUCCCUGUUUCUGUUUACAGUUCUGCUAUGGUCCAGAGGAGAAGAUUAGAAGAAUCCUAAGCUAAAAUAACAUCAGUAAAAAAAGCUCUGUGGUAAUGUUUCAAGAUUUGAUGCAAUUUAAAACAGACCUACAAGGGAGUAGGACCCACUGGACUUUACUUCCAAAUACAUAAAGUCAAAGUCAAAGCAAACAGGCACUCUGAAGCAGGAAGUAUAACCCCCUGUACUACAUCAGUUUCUCCAAAAGUAUUGAUCUCACACUUCUUCACCCCCAUUAUUUCCAUAUCUCAAAAUUAUGUCUCUGAUCUUCAAUAUUUAGACUACAAGACUGGUACUGGACUAUUUCUCUGAAGAAUAUCCCUUUCCCAUUGAGACUGUAUUCUUAAAUCCAAAACAAGAACUUGAUCUUUCAUCAACUGAUUAUUAUUUAGCCUAUCAACCAAUCAUCACUUUAAUACAGGAAGGCCUUUUUUUGGGGGGAGCAAUAAUCCUAUAAAAGAAGUCCAGACCACAGAGAGGAAGUGUAGACAUGAUGCAGUAAAUGUGUCAAACAUUGAUGGCAGAGAUGGGAAAUGUGUAGCCUUUCAGAUGUUGCUGGACUGUAAUUUCCAACACACCUUGCCAGCCUCAUCAAUAGUGAUGGAUGAUAGAGACUGCAGUCUAAUAACAUCUGGAUGGUUAUAUACUCCCUAUUCCCAGUUUAAGGUGUGUUGCAGUAAAUCAAUUCAUAACUGAACUAUUUCUAUAUCUGUGUCUUUAUACUUCUCACGCAGUCAUUCAUAUAUGAUGAACAAAACAUUUCCAAAAGGACAAUACAUUCUGUAUGUACUACAGUACCCUAAUUACAAGCUUAUUCCAGAGAAAGCAAUUAUAUUUAGGUGAUGAUGACUAAAGUUACUAGUGAUACCAUUCGUUGCAUUCUAAUUGAGAUUUUUUAAGAUGCACCCUCAUUAAGGUGCAUCCUUGCCAAGAUUUUAAAAGGCACAUCCUACCUUUCAAGCAUCCUUAUUGAGAUUUUGAAAGAAACUGAAUAUGCAUCCAACAUUUAUAUUUGAAUGAAUGGCUUGAGGUUUUCAUCCUGCAUUGCAAUCAAUACCAUAAAUGGGAGUGACUGAAGGACAAGUAUGGGUUAUACACUUUACAUGAUUUGAUUCAUAGUCUUAGUGCUAGAGGAAAGGUGUCUAGCCUCUGGGAAGUCUUUUGGCAAUUCUCACACAGCUGCUUAGUGCUAAAUGCUAAAGUAUCAAGCAAAAACUGCAGGAUGUUGUUACUCAGACAUCAUCUUAAACAAACAAAUUAAGUUUACACCAUCAUGUCCAGAAUGAGGAGGAGGCAUAAAGGCAAGAAAAAGAGUUCAAGUAGGAUCUGUGCUGGGGCAAAUGAUAGCUAGAAUCCUGUUGGUGACUUACAGUCCCUUAUUCAAAGGCACGUUUUGAAGUGGUCCAUAGUGAGAGAAGUAGUCAAUAUGACAAAAGAAGAUAACAUACAACCACUAUGAAAUUAAACAAAAACAAAAAAUGAUGGAAGCAAUACACAGAAGAGCUAUAUAAAAGAGAAGAAAGGAAGAAUAACAUAUGGGAAGAAGCACCAUAUGAAGAUAAACCCCAAAUUCUGGAAAGUGAAGUAAAAGGGGCACUCCAAGCAAUUGGGAAGAAUACAUAACCAGGAUCAGAUGACAUACCAAUAGAAUUGCUGCAAUGUAGUGAGAGAGAAUCAACCUCAGUUCUAGCUAAAAUCUGCCAACAAAUAUGGGAUACAAAACAGUGAUCCACAGAUUGGAAACAAUAUACAUUCCUAUUCCUAAAAAAGGAGACACAAAAGAGUGCAGCUGCUACAGAACCAUUGCACUAAUCUCCCAUGUAAGCAAAAUCAUGCAUAAAAUUUUGCAACACAGAUUCCUACUAUAGGAUGUUCCAGAGGUGCAAGCUGGAUUCAGAAAAUGAAGAGACACUAGGGACCACAUAGGAAACUUGCUAUGGAUAAUGGAGUACACCAGGCAAUUCCAGAAGAAAAUAAGGAUGUGUUUUAUAGAAAUGACAAAGACUUUGACUGUACAGAUAAUAAAAAACUAU